UACAGAGGGUGCUAGCGUUAAUCGGAAUUACUGGGCGUAAAGGGUGCGCAGGUGGUUGUGUGUGUCAGAUGUGAAAUCCCGGAGCUUAACUCCGGAACUGCGUCUGAAACUGCACGACUAGAGCAUUGGAGAGGGUAGUGGAAUUCACGGUGUAGCAGUGAAAUGCGUAGAUAUCGUGAGGAACACCAGAGGCGAAGGCGACUACCUGGACAAUUGCUGACACUCAGGCACGAAAGCAUGGGGAGCAAAAGGG
rnacentral:rRNA from 1 species